rnacentral:rRNA from 1 species
CUCAGUAACGGCGAGUGAAGCGGCAAGAGCUCAAAUUUGAAAUCUGGCCCCUCCGGGGUCCGAGUUGUAAUUUGCAGAGGAUGCUUCGGGUGCGGCCCCUGUCUAAGUGCCCUGGAACGGGCCGUCAGAGAGGGUGAGAAUCCCGUCUUGGGCAGGGUGCCCGUGCCCGUGUGAAGCUCCUUCGACGAGUCGAGUUGUUUGGGAAUGCAGCUCUAAAUGGGUGGUAAAUUUCAUCUAAAGCUAAAUACCGGCCGGAGACCGAUAGCGCACAAGUAGAGUGAUCGAAAGAUGAAAAGCACUUUGAAAAGAGAGUUAAACAGCACGUGAAAUUGUUGAAAGGGAAGCGCUUGCGACCAGACUCGGCCCCGGGGUUCAGCCAGCACUCGUGCUGGUGUACUUCCCCGGGGGCGGGCCAGCGUCGGUUUGGGCGGCCGGUCAAAGGCCCCAGGAAUGUGUCGCCCUCCGGGGCGUCUUAUAGCCUGGGGUGCAAUGCGGCCAGCCCGGACCGAGGAACGCGCUUCGGCACGGACGCUGGCGUAAUGGUCGCAAACGACCCGUCUUGAAACACGGACCAAGGAGUCUAACAUCUACGCGAGUGUUCGGGUGUCAAACCCGUACGCGCAGUGAAAGCGAACGGAGGUGGGAGCCCCGCAAGGGGCGCACCAUCGACCGAUCCUGAUGUCUUCGGAUGGAUUUGAGUAAGAGCGUAGCUGUGGGGACCCGAAAGAUGGUGAACUAUGCCUGAAUAGGGCGAAGCCAGAGGAAACUCUGGUGGAGGCUCGCAGCGGUUCUGACGUGCAAAUCGAUCGUCAAAUUUGGGUAUAGGGGCGAAAGACUAAUCGAACCA